ensembl:snRNA U2 U2 spliceosomal RNA
AUUGCUUCUUGGCCUUUUGGCUAAGACCAAGUGUAGUGUGCAUUUCUGAAUCAUUUAGAGAAAGGCAGAAGAGUGUUCUGCACAUAAAAGAUAUUCAAGGAGUAUAUGAAGAUGGAUGCAUACUGUUCUACUCUCAGCUUUUCAUUAAUUUGCUAAGUGACAGUAGAAAUUAUUU